rnacentral:rRNA from 1 species
CAGUAGCCACGGGAAUACGAGGGGAGCUAGCGUUAUUCGGAAUUACUGGGCGUAAAGCGCACGUAGGCGGCUUUGUAAGUUAGAGGUGAAAGCCCAGAGCUCAACUCUGGAAUUGCCUUUAAGACUGCAUCGCUUGAAUCCAGGAGAGGUGAGUGGAAUUCCGAGUGUAGAGGUGAAAUUCGUAGAUAUUCGGAAGAACACCAGUGGCGAAGGCGGCUCACUGGACUGGUAUUGACGCUGAGGUGCGAAAGCGUGGGGAGCAAACAGGAUUAGAUACCCCCGUAGUCCCUGUCUCUUAUAC